GCUCUUCUUCUUUCUCGUUCCUUUUCUCGCUACACUACGCAUCGUCUCCCUUUGGUCGGAUCUAGUGUAUUUGCCCCAGAUGUGAAGCAUAAAGACAGAUGCAAUAAAAAGAAGAGACAUAACAAGCACAGUAUAUUACAUCUACUUACACUUUGAUGCCAGGAGAAUCAUCGGUA